rnacentral:rRNA from 1 species
UACGUAGGCAGCAAGCGUUGUUCGGAGUUACUGGGCGUAAAGGGUGUGUAGGCGGUUCCCUAAGUUUGGUGUGAAAUCUCCCGGCUCAACUGGGAGGGUGCGCCGAAAACUGGGGAGCUAGAGUGCGGGAUGGGUAAGUGGAAUUCCUGGUGUAGCGGUGAAAUGCGUUGAUAUCGGAAGGAACGCCGGUGGCGAAAGCGGCGUGCUGGACCUCUUCUGACGCUGAGGCGCGAAAGCUAGGGGAGCAAACGGG